CCCAUUUAGAGUGGCUUCAACAGCGAGGGGGUCGCCAGGUCUUUACGCGAUGACGAGCAUGAAGGGAGGAGGCAACGCUGAGGGUUAAACAGACCAUCGAUAGAUGGAAGAUAGAUUGGGUCGGGGUGGAGGAAGACCACAAGAGAAACACCCGCAUUUUUGCGAGGCUCCCGAGGAACUUGAACUUGCCGACAACGAAUUGCCAACGUUGUUCUUCACCACCACCGGCGAGUUCUUUUGCUGACUUCAUCAAGGGGGCGAAAACUUUAAGAAAGCAAUCAGCUCUACAACGGAGCCGACUGUGGAAGCCGUGAAUCGGAGGGCUUUCUGGUUGAGUGCAGCUUUCUGUGUUGUUGACGGCGCACAACAGCACACGGUGGAUUCUCUUUGUGAGAAUCUUUGGUGUGAAAAAGAAAGGUCUCGAGUAGAAAAUGGAUCUCAUCACAGUUCUUGGAACCUUUUGUUUAAAAGAGGGCUCCAGAGGGAAAUGACCAAGCCUUCCCGCAGUGUCAAGAAAUGGAAAACUAAGCAGGAGAAUGCUUAAACUUCACUUCACAACUUUGCACCACCGGGUGUUAAGUCGAGGGAAAUGAUCGAGGACGAGCCAGUGUAGUAUGAACCGCACCAGCAUGUCUUGGAAUACAGGCUGACAGUGUUGUUCUUUCACGGUUUUAUCCUUUUACUACCCUCAGAGUGGACAUUUUUAAAUAGGUGGAUGCCCCUUUCAUGCCUGACUGAGGCUUUGAUAUUUUAAAAAUGAAUUACCUCCAGCGGCAC
ensembl:lncRNA